rnacentral:misc_RNA from 1 species
UGGUUCUGGCAUCGAUGAAGAACGCAGCGAAAUGCGAUAAGUAAUGUGAAUUGCAGAAUUCAGUGAAUCAUCGAAUCUUUGAACGCACAUUGCGCCCCUUGGUAUUCCGGGGGGCAUGCCUGUUCGAGCGUCAUUACAACCCUCAAGCUCUGCUUGGUAUUGGGCCUCGCUACCUCUGUGGCGGGCCUCAAAUCUAGUGGCGGAACCGUUGGGUCCUGAGCGUAGUAAAUAUCCUCGCUACAGGGUCUCGGCGUCCUCUAGCCAGCAACCCUCACAUCUUAGUUUGACCUCGGAUCAGGUAGGGAUACCCGCUGA